CACCAUUCUCUCACCCAUGCAUCAUCCAUCUCACUUCUUAUUCCUCCUUUGGUCGCUGAAAAAUAAAUAGAAAAAAUCACCUGAAUUUCUCCAAUUUGAACAAAAACAUGCGAAAUUAAAAGAAGGAACUAAUUACGUAAAAAAAGAAGUAAAUUUCAAUCUUCUGUCAUUUUCUUAGCAACCAACCAGAAAGAGAUUGAAGCAAACCAUAGAGAGAGAUCUAAAGGAGAUUAUAGCAAAUAAGAAGAACCAGACGUAUAAUAAAUGAUAAGUGAAUGCUUACCGUUGAAUUCUAGGGUUUGGAGCGAAACAUACUAGAAGCAUCGAAGAAGAAACGGAGUAAAAUGAGACGACAAACACAGAAAUGGAUCGAUCGAUCACAAGUAGAAACCCUAGGCAGCGAGGAAGGAUUGAUUGGUAUUGGAUUAGACGUUGGAUUUAGGGUUUUGAAUUUGGGAAUCUGAAAAAAAAAAAAAAAAAAACCCUUGUAAAACCUCUUUGAAGAGAGAUUUUUUUAGCAUCAAGUGUAUAGUAGUUGAGCACUGUAGUGCUGUGUUGUUUUG
rnacentral:lncRNA from 1 species